rnacentral:rRNA from 1 species
UACGAAGGGGGCUAGCGUUGUUCGGAAUUACUGGGCGUAAAGCGCACGUAGGCGGGUAUUUAAGUCAGGGGUGAAAUCCCAGAGCUCAACUCUGGAACUGCCUUUGAUACUGGGUACCUGGAGUAUGGAAGAGGUGAGUGGAAUUCCGAGUGUAGAGGUGAAAUUCGUAGAUAUUCGGAGGAACACCAGUGGCGAAGGCGGCUCACUGGUCCAUUACUGACGCUGAGGUGCGAAAGCGUGGGGAGCAAACAGG